AAAAGAAAAAAGAAAUGAAAAAAGAUAGAAAAGAAGUAGAAUGAAACGAAACAGAACAAGGGAGAAAAAGAAAGAAAAGAAAGGAAGAAAAGAGAAAAUUAAAGGUUUGAAGCUUGGAAGUUUAAUAGCUAAUGAUGUCUCGGAAAAUCUCGGUUAAGCAAGGAUAAGGCGAAGACAACAGGAGUUAGCUUGGAAACUACGGUAGGUUAAAGACAGAUCGUCGAAUCUGCAUCAUAAGCCGAUCCCGAACUCAAAAAGAUCCGGAAGAUUCAAAUACGAAGCUAGAUCGAGGAAAGGAAAAAGUUCGGGAUUAGUAGAUUUCUAUUGUUUACAAACAAGUAUCAAGGUA